GAUGAACGCUGGCGGCGUGCCUAAUACAUGCAAGUCGAGCGAACGGACGAGAAGCUUGCUUCUCUGAUGUUAGCGGCGGACGGGUGAGUAACACGUGGAUAACCUACCUAUAAGACUGGGAUAACUUCGGGAAACCGGAGCUAAUACCGGAUAAUAUUUUGAACCGCAUGGUUCAAUAGUGAAAGACGGUCUUGCUGUCACUUAUAGAUGGAUCCGCGCUGCAUUAGCUAGUUGGUAAGGUAACGGCUUACCAAGGCAACGAUGCAUAGCCGACCUGAGAGGGUGAUAGGCCACACUGGAACUGAGACACGGUCCAGACUCCUACGGGAGGCAGCAGUAGGGAAUCUUCCGCAAUGGGCGAAAGCCUGACGGAGCAACGCCGCGUGAGUGAUGAAGGUCUUCGGAUCGUAAAACUCUGUUAUUAGGGAAGAACAUAUGUGUAAGUAACUGUGCACAUCUUGACGGUACCUAAUCAGAAAGCCACGGCUAACUACGUG
rnacentral:rRNA from 1 species